rnacentral:rRNA from 1 species
CCUACGGGUGGCAGCAGUGAGGAAUAUUGGUCAAUGGACGAGGGUCUGAACCAGCCAAGUAGCGUGAAGGAUGACUGCCCUAUGGGUUGUAAACUUCUUUUAUAUGGGAAUAAAACGUUCCACGUGUGGGAUUUUGUAUGUACCAUAUGAAUAAGGAUCGGCUAACUCCGUGCCAGCAGCCGCGGUAAUACGGAGGAUCCGAGCGUUAUCCGGAUUUAUUGGGUUUAAAGGGAGCGUAGGUGGAUUGUUAAGUCAGUUGUGAAAGUUUGCGGCUCAACCGUAAAAUUGCAGUUGAAACUGGCAGUCUUGAGUACAGUAGAGGUGGGCGGAAUUCGUGGUGUAGCGGUGAAAUGCUUAGAUAUCACGAAGAACUCCGAUUGCGAAGGCAGUUCACUGGACUGCAACUGACACUGAGGCGCGAAAGUGUGGGUAUCAAACAGGAUUAGAUACCCUUGUAGUC